GUGCUCACUUCAGCAGCACAUACACUAAAAUUGAAAUGAUACAGAGAAGAUUAAUUGCCCCUACACAAGGAUGUCAUCCAAAUUCAUGAAUCACUCCAUAUUUUU
ensembl:snRNA U6 U6 spliceosomal RNA